rnacentral:lncRNA from 1 species
CAUGUUCCAAGCCCACCUAAAAGUGUUAUAGGCCCACCUCAAGUAUACUUGCCACCUAUUGUUUAUCCACCACCACCUUCAACUCAUAAGAAGCCACCACAAUAUGCUAUUUGGUGUGUGGCAAAGCCUACAGUUCCUGAUCCUAUAAUUCAAGUGGCUAUGGAUUAUGCCUGUGGGUCUGGGGCUGACUGUAAAUCAGUUCAGCCUAAUGGGAUAUGCUUUCAGCCCAACACAGUGUUGGCACAUGCUUCUUAUGCAUUUAAUAGCUAUUGGCAGAACACUAAGAUUGGUGGGGGGACUUGUGAUUUUGGUGGUACUGCUAUGCUUGUCACUGUUGAUCCAAGUAAGUUUGCACUACGUACCAUAUUUGAUUACCUUUGUUAAAGAGAUUAAUUUUCAUAUAUUUCAUUUUUUUUUGUAAGUAAUUUUUCCAUGUAUUUCAUGUUCUACACUGUUAGCACAUUUACAUGUUGAUCUAAUGAUAAAAAAAAAAAAAAAAUUUUGAAUCGGCAAAAUAUUAUAUGUAUGGACCGUAAAAGUUGAUUAUGAUAAAAUUUAAACAGUUGAUUAGGAUAAAUAAUUUAAUUUUUUGGUACAAAUAAUAAAAUAAAUUUUAAUGAAAUUAUAUGACAAAAUUAACACUUCACAUGUUUCAUAUAUAUCGAGAUUCUUUUUUUGUUACAAUGAGAUCCUUUUAUUUAGCUGUUAGUUAAGUCAUUUCACAUCACAUCACAUACUAUAUAUAUCCACACAACAGGCAUAUGCCACUUGAUUUCUUUUAAAUUGGAAUCUAUCCGGGUAGAGAAAACAUGAAUUCAUGACAUCGGUAGCCGGCGUCUGAUUAAAAAUAAAGGUUUUUUUUAAAUUACCUUUAAAGAAUGGUGGGUAAUUUAUCCACCAACCAAUGAAAAUGAGCAAUUUAUUUGUGGAGUCAAGAUAGUUCAUGAAUAUGUGUUUAUGUGGCUAAUGUGUAUUGGUUGGGGUAAAUUACCCAUCAUUCUUUCAUGGGUAGCCUAGUUGCCACCAAAAAUAAAUGGUUCAAAUAAAUAUAUAUUUUAAUUUAUAAUUUAAAAAAAUAUCAAAUUUAAAUAUGAAUGGUUUAAUCUUGAUCAAACAACUAUUGAUGUGCUAUUGUGUGAUGUGUGCUUGAUCCCCUUUCUUCUUUUGAGGUGCAUUCUUCAUUGUCACACUCGGUGGUAUUAGAUUCGCGCACAGUCACUUAAAGCCCACAUUCACCUAUUCAAAACGUUGUUGACUUAUAUGGAUCAAGAUCUAAAGGAAUUUUAAGCUGGUUUUUAAGAUAAAAAACAAAAAUCAAACCUUAAAACCUGCAUUGUUCGAUCUAGAGUCAACGAUCACCGACAUGGUGAAAGUGAAUUUUUGUAACUACAUGGAAUGCAUAUUUCGUAGUCUUUUCAAUUUAGAACUAUGGAUUAUUGCUUCAGACUAACAUUUCCCUCAAAUCCUCGAUUUAUUUGGCAGGUUAUGACAAGUGCAGCUUCAAGUCGACUUAGCUCAUUGCUUGCUAUAAUACAUAGCAUUUGGAGACUUACCAAAUAUUGAAAACUUCUUGUUCCAAUGUAAUUUUUUAUGCAACGAUAAAUUCCCUUACUUAAUUAGAUACAUUAUUUGGAGUUACCUUGAUCAUAGUAUAUUCCGCCCUUGCUUAAUUUUGUGUAGUUCUAUAUAUUUCUAAAAUGGUAGGUUUAAUAUAUAUAUUCAUGACCAUAAUUUGAUAUUUAGAGAUGUAUGUAGCUCUAUUACGUUUCUGGUUCUUUAGUUUAAAACUUAGAUAAGCACCCAUCUUUUGUGUAUUACUAUCAGCGUUAUAAUCCUUGAAAACUUAGAUAAGCACCCAUCUAAAUGCAUAUAAGGUUAAGACAAUACCGACAUCAAAAUGCAGGUUGAAUACAUUAUCCGACUAAAAUCCAUUUCGCUUUCUUCAUGCAUGUGCUCUACAGUUAUCUUCAAUGAAUAAAACAGUAGUUACCUUCAGCCAGCUUGUAAUAUGUUGUCGCACCUGCGAAGCUAAUUUGCAUUCAAAAAAUAAGUGAGAAACAUUUUCCUGCGAAGCUAAUGAAGUGUACGGAAAAAUAAAUAAAAAAUUUACAUUUUAUUAUAACAAAGCAAACAAUUUACUCUAUUGCUUUUUUCUUUAAAAAAAAAUAAAAAAUUUACUUUAUUGUUUCGUGGUGUUUUUUUUAUUCAUUUACUUACUGAUAAAAAACUCAUAUAGACAAAAGAACUGAGUUAAGUGAGAAAAAAAAUGAGAUUAUAGCUAGUAUUGAUAUUUUUACUAAUGUAUUUCGAAAAAUAUUUCAUUCUGUUGGUGUAUAAAAAUUUACAUUAGAAGCAGGGAGGGAACCAUAUUUAACGGUAUAAGAUAGGAAAGAAAAAACAAAUUACUUUACCCAAAAAAAAAAAAAAACAAAUUUUUAUUUGCAAAUAUAAUGCACACAUGAAAUUUAAGAAAUUAUAUGUUACUUCCCUCAUUUCCUUUUUUUAAGUGUUUUUUUAGAAAAUUAACACAAAAAUCACGAAGUGUAUUUUUUGCACAUUUUCUUCCUAGUAUACCCUCAUUUUAAUCCACUAAUAAAUUUCAAUUGUUUUGCAAACACUUUAUCUUUCCAAUAAAUUUAAUAUGUUAUAUUUCUCUCAUUGUGAGUUACUAUUAUCUUUUUCUCCAACAAAUUCCUAUUUUUUUACAUGCACUCUCUCAUAACAAACAAUUGUCAAUUUUCUAAAUAUUGUGUACAUCUUUUCAAUUAUUUUAAGUCAAUAUAAAAAUUAAAUUGAUGAAACUUCUUCUUCUUCAUUGUCAUCUUGUUCUUGUUCUUGUAUCUUGUCGAAUGAGUUUUCAACUAUUGCUCCCUCUUCACAUCUCAUCAUCAAUUUCAACGAGUCUUCCACUUUUUCAUCCUUUUGAGCAUACUACAUGGAGUCUUUUAUUUUUCUUCUCUCAAAUCUUUUAUUUUACUUUGCCCUUGAAAUUUUUAACAAUUGAUACUCAUCUUAGUUAUCGAAUUUUAACUCUUCUUGGAACCAUUGUUUGUAACAAAAUUUUGUUUAAAUUUGAAGAUAACAAGAAACAAACUUUGUUUAAAAAAAAACUGUGUUCCAAAUAGAUAGCAUUAAUUAGUUUUAUUGAAAAAGCUAAAAGUAAUUGGCAAAGGGUAUAAUUGACAAAUCGUAAUUUAAAAUACCAAAAAGACAGUAAAAUAGGAACGGAAAAUUCACCAUAAAAAGACACUUAAAAAUGAACGGAGGAAGUAUAUCCAAAGUUAAUAUGUAUCGAAAAUUGUGUUCAUGUGUAAUUUAUUUGUUGUUUUUUGUUGCCGUUGUUUCUUUAGUGGCACUUUGACUCUGUAAAUACUUGUCGGUGGUUCUCCUUUUGCAUACCUUAUACAGGUUGAACCACUCUGAUUUUAUUAAUAUCUCAUUUUGAUUUGUUAAAAAAAAAUGUAUCUAAAAUUAUAAGAAAUUUCAAAGAUGUUAGAAAAAUGAGUUCCUUGAGGCUUCUUUGAGUGUGACCAAAGAAGAUUUUUUUAAUAGUAGAGAUAGGAAAUAAGAAACAACAAGAAUGUAAAUGUAGGAGAAGAAAUUCAAGAUAAUAUCACAAACAUUAGUAGUGACUGAAAGGGCGCAAACAACACCGCGUGCAAUAUUUCUUACAGUUUGAGUGAAAUUGCAACAAAUAAUCACAAAUUAAUAUUCUAGUUAAGGUUCUUCUAAUUGCAUAAAAAAAAACUCACUUUAUUUCUCAAUUUCUCAAUGUUAUGCAUUCUAGUUAAGGAUUUGUGUUAUUAAAAUUUGAAAGUUAUACAAUGCUAAAUAUACUGAGUAAAAAAAAGUUCAUUAUACAAAAUCAUAUUAAGUUCACAGAAAAUAGUAUAGUGACAAAAAAAUAAAAAUAAUAAUAACAUACUAAUAUGAAGGGAACCAUGGCCUAUGUUAGUCUCCGUUCUAGUUUCAUCCCUGAUUGCAAAGUAUAUCAUAAUGCAAUCUUGUGUAGCUACGAUAAGAAUUAAAUAUUUUCAAUUAUCUACUAAUAGUAAUGAUUAAUUGACAAUGCAAGUACUCUUUACACCUGCAUUGCAUAUGAAUUAGAAGUCACUUUGUUGGCAUAUCACUCCUCAAUCUUGUGAUCCUCCGUUCAAAACUAGCGGUAUGGUAACAAAACCCAUAUAUGUGGGUAUCCGUUUGAACCAAACUUAAAUUGACGGGUUUUUUUUAUUUUAAUUGGGUUUGGGUUUGUCUCGAUUUCAAAAGAUAGAUACGGGACGGGUAACAGGAAUAUAGGUACUCAUCUCAAACCCAUCCUGAAUGUAGAAAAUUAAUUUAUUACCCAUUUUAUAUAAAUAAAAACUCAAACCCUAAAUCAUUUCACUCAUACAAUCAGAGUCUCGGUCUUUCAGAUGACACAAUUAUCAUAGUUCUUUCUUUUCUCCUUCAAUAUUCCACACUCUCAGCCUCUCUCUUCUUCAUCACCAUAGUCAUCGAUCGUCGUCAUCUUUUUACUGAAUAAUGCAUUAGUCAUUACAACUUUGCGCUCGGGGAUAAAAAAUACUUUUAUUUUUAAUAAAAAAAAAUUAUCCACUUCGGGGAUGGGAAUGAGGCGGGGAUGCCCAAACCCGUCGGGGACAUGGAUGAGAUUCGAUUUCUCAUCUCCGCUGAAUAUGGGUAUGGUAACGGGUAAGUAUUUGAAAAUAUGGUAUGAGGACGGGGAAGGUAAAACUCAUCCUCACCCUACCCCAUUGUGAUGCCUAUUCAUGAAGCACAUAUAUUUAGGUAAAUAUUAGAAUAGAAUAACAUUGGAAUGAAAUAAUGACAAAAUUAUCUCUUCACAUGUUUCAUAUUGAGACUCUUUUAUUUACAAUGAGUUCCUUAUUUCGUCGUUAUAGUUUAAGUGAUUUCACAUCACAUACUAUACCCUAACAACAAAGACAUAUUAUGCCACUUGGUUUCGGUACACAUUUCAUUGUCACGCAUCGUCGUCUUAUGGUUGUUGUGCCUUCAAUUUAGUUAAAACUAUGGGCUAUUGCUACAGACUGACAUUUUCCUCAAAAUCAAAACCACCGUUUAUUUGGCAGGUUAUGCAACUUCAUGUUGACUUCCUUCUAUUGAAAACCUCUCUUUCCAACGUAAUUUUUACGUAGCAAUACAUCCCCUUUGCUUAAUUAGUGACAAUAUUUGAAGUUACCCUACCUUGAUCAUCAUCAUCCCUUGCUUAAUUGGUGACGAUAUUGGAAGUAACCUUCAUCAUCUUCUUUGUGGUUUUUCUAGGAAUUCUUUAGGUGUCUUCGAGUUUGGAAGCAUACAAUCAUUUUUGUAAUAAUUAAAAAUUAAAAUUGUUACAAACUUCUAAAACACGGAAGGGUGAUUGAGUUGUCCUCGUGGAGUCAUGUGUCCAAUUGGUUAUAUAUACAAUCAUAUUAUAAUAGUCGUAUAUACGUAAACAUUUUUUAAAAAAAUAUGUACCACACUUUAAAAAUUCACAUAUGCAUUAAUUAAUUUACUUUUAACCUUAUCUUCUAAUAUAUUAUUAUAAAUUAAUUAAUAGUUAUUUUAAGAAAAACCAAUAAACAAUAUAACGCAAACUUGAAACAAAGAGUGAAUCAAGGAGAAUCUACAAAAUAAGUAGAGUAAUGUAUAAUUAAUACAGAAAAAAAAUUAACAAAUAAAAUUUAUCUCACCUUACCAAUGGAGAUUUUAUCUAUUGGAAAUGGUUGAUAUACUUACAAUUAGUUUUCGACACACAUCGAAUAUGAUUAUCUCCAAUUUAUGUGGCGGAAAAACUUAUCACACACGUUAGAAAAAGAAAAAAGUGUUUAUUUUUCUAGUUCCAUGAGUUUCUACAAGGUUUUUUUUACUUCACUAGCUAGUGAUGACUCGCAUGUGAGAUUUGCGAGUGCAACUUAACAUAUGUGAUUUUGAGACCACGAGAGAAGCAUAUAAUUUUUUUUUUUAAAGUACUAUAAAAUAAUAAUAAAAUUUGAACAUAUAUAUGAAAUGUGGUUGUAUCUUUCAGCAUGGAUUAGAACUUUGUUUGUCAUGUUUAUGAGAGUUUAAUCUCUUGCGCUAAAUUCAACCUUAUUGGUGAAUCUAGAUUUUUUUUUUUAUGUAUAUAUGUAUAUAUAUAUAUAUAUGAUGUUUCUAACCUAAUUAAGAGUUAUAUGUUGUAAUAAUAUUAUAUAAUUGUCUUUUUACUCCUUUUCGAUCUUGAGUUAUUUUGGGACGGGAAAAUAUCUUUAUUUUGGUUUUCAUAUAACUAUUCCCCCUUUUUUGUGAAUCCAAAGCAUUGCUUGAAAACUUUUAUUAUCAGCAUUGCUCGAAAGUUGAAACUAUUCCCGCUGGAUUCAAAGUUUUCAACUUCACUAAUUUCUUUGAAAAGAAAAUACUAUAAAACUUCACUGACAUGUUACGUUACAUUUGGAAGCCAGUCAUGUACCGUAAUAAUUGAAGAAAAAAUAUUAUCAGCCGACACUAAAUGCAUAAAAGGUUAAGACAUUACCGAUCCAUGUUUUGUCGUUGAACAAUUAGUCAAAUGUUAAUUGGUUUCAUUCAGAAUUAAGUGUAAAAAAUUUGAUGAUGAUAAUGAAAGAGACUUGAGUGUAUUACCCGACUAAAAUCCAUUUCGCUUUCUUCAUGUGCUCUAGAUCUACAAUUACCUGCUACACAUUCCAAUGGAUAAAUUCUGGUAAUUAUAAAUGUGAUUACUUAAAAUAUAUAUGGUGGCUUCUUAAACUAAAUUAUAUAAAUUGUUAUCGUUAAAAAGCGACUUUUAGAGUUUAUAGCAACAAUCGUAUCUAUUUGUUCACGGGUUUUUGGAUUAAGUUAGAUUUAGGCUAUUGGUCAUUUCAGUCCACUUAUAAAAAUGGAAGGAUGGAUAUUAUUUUAUUAAUUUACACCAUUCGGAGAAUUUCCUUAUUUUGUAUCAAGUCAAAUAAAAAUUAUAGCCUCAACUCUGGCAAAUUAUUUGCAACAUGUUACCCAAUAGUCUACAUUAUAUAUCUAUUAAAAAUCUUAAUAUCUUGUACAAACAUUGUGUAUAAAUCUUUAUUCGAUCAGUUAUAACAAAUUACAUAGACAUAUAGUGUGUUCGAUCGAGAAAAAUAAAUAAAAGAUUGGACAUGAUAACUACAUUUAUACUAUGUGAUUGUAAAACUACAUCAGGAACUAGAUAAACUUAGAGGGUAAAGGACACGAUAAAAAUUGAAAUUAUUAUCAUUUACUAAAUCAGAAUACAACUUUUUGCCUCAAAUACAAGUGAAUAAAAUACCCAAAUAGACUUUUAUCCACCAAGGAUCGUCGUCUAAGAUAAAAAAAAUUGUUCAAUAUAAUUAAAGUUAGUAAUGUGUCUUAUGUCUUAUUCCGUGUUCUUAUGUCCAAUACUUACAUUUUUAGAUAAUCAAACGUAUUCAUCCUGUUGAAGUACAUGGAGUCGAUACAAGUUAAGAACACAGUGGCUUGGGUUAGGUGAUAGAUGUACAAUCGUAUAGCUUAUAGGUCAAUUCUAACAUGUUUCUGAAAGUCAUUUUGUAUGGAGGUGUGUUAUUUGAACAAUCAUUUGAAUGAUAACUUUUGUGACAACCACUAAUUUACAAAGGAAAGUAGAUAGUGACACGGAAACCAAAGUAAUAGAGAGAUAAAGUAAAAAAAUAAUGUGAGUAUGAAAAAUAAAAUUGUCACAAAAUGGUUGUCAAAAUAUCAUUUCUCUUUUGUAUAACAUGCACAAAUAUUUAAAAGAUAAAUGAUAUUUGUAUAACCAUUUUUUUGACAACUUUUAGACAAUUUUCUCUCUCAUAUUCACGUUAUAUUCUUAACCUUUCUUUUCCUUUUUCUCUCUCCUUUGUUUUUAACCAAUAAAAAGAGAGGAAAAAAAAGUUGUCAAGAAAGUUGUUAGCAAAUAGUUGUUCAAAUAUCAUUGCUCGAGUUAAAAUCGUGCUCACUAAACACAAAUGAUUUUUGACGAAGUUUUGUGUAGGCACAAGCAUUUCGGCGCACAUACAUAAAUCAAAAAAAUUAAAAGAUAAAUAAAACAGUCACAUCAAUCAAUAUCAUUUUAAUCAUUUAGUUUUUAAUUUUUUUUUAACUUCAUGGAUGCGUACCUAAAUGUGAGGUGUUGGUCAUAUGACCAAAUAAGAGAUUUUCAUGAUUUUUUUACCAUAAGAUCAAAAAGUUAUAUCAUAUCUCAUUUUAUUACAUUUUUUCUUUAAUGGUGGGGUUUAUUGGUUUCUAAAAAUAUAUCAAUUACCACCCUUUGUUUUCAAAUUCUUUAACCCCGUCACUAAAAACAUAAAAGUAUUUGGAGUAGGUUUAUUUUGUGAAAACAUUUUAAGUUUUCUAGAAUUUAUAUUUUUAAGCAAAAGUGAAUUGCAAAAAUUUAAGCGAGAUUUUUUAUCACAAGUUUACAAUUAUGGUGAAAUCGAAGAACUUAACUACUUAGGUUGUAAACUAAGAACAUUUUAUUAACAAAGAACCAAAAACAGGCAUGAUGGAGUGCAUAGACCAAAAUCUAAAGAAAAAACAUCAAACAGAAAUAAAGGGAAACUAUGUCGAUUAUUAUAACAACAAUCCUCUAAAAUAAAUCUAGGUGGAAGAGUCCACCAAAUAUAACGUUUAGAUUAAAAACCAAAUCCCGCUAUAAAUAUGAGAGAUUACAAUUAAUUGCAUUUGAGAACACAAUGACAAAGCAUUGCGUUGUCUUUUUUUUUUUUUUUUUUUGUCAUUUAGCUUAAUGGCUAUAGAAAUUCACCUUAAAGAUGAAUAAUUGAAGUGUCAUGCAUCGUCUGUUUUUUAAUCUCCACGUGAUAGACCGAGAAUUCUAAAAAGACUUCACCGAUAAUGACGGUGGAGAUUAAAAAACGUUCAUAAUUGCGGCCAACAAAACAAUUUGUGACUAAUAAUUCUAACCUUUUUAAAGAAAAACACGAAGUAGACAAGAAAAAGGAUGUAUCAAUAUGACAAUCAAUGGAAGUCCAAAGUCAACUCUAAAUGUUAACAUCAAAUUGAUUAACGUUGUAACUUGUAACACCUCGUUUUUUCAACUUAAAAAUUUCACAUAUAAAUUAAAGUAUUUCAACAUAAACAGAAUGUCACACUUCUUUUCAUAAAAUCAUAAACAGAAUAAAAUAACUAUUUAUCCUUCAAAUUCAACAGCAUAUCAUUUAUUACAUCGCAACGGAAUGUAUUCAACAUUUAAACAUCUUUUGCACCAAGGCCUCAACAUAAAAUCUCUUAAAGUUAUUCCAACAACAUGUUCAUGAAAGUUCAUAAAAUAAUACGUAAGGAAUAGAAAGCAACAACAAAAUUCUCAUCCCGUUACGUAUCAGGGCACCUAAGACACACGUGAGAGAUAGUCCACUCACGACAACAACUAACAGCAACUAUUCUCGAUCACCUGCAGGUUACCCAUAUGAAGGGUAACAAUUCCAAGCAGAAGGGGUGAGAUUUCAUAUUCAAAUAAUAAUAAGCAUAUAAUUCAUUAAAUGCAUUUAACAACUUAAACUUCAUCAAUUAAUAACAUUAACUCUUCUUAUAAUACUUCGUUAAUAACUCAAUCAAUUUCUAAUCAUCAUUAACUUCAUAUUCAUCACAUUAUAUACAACAUCAUAUAGCACAUAAUAAUCAGAUCAUAAACAUCAUCAUAUAACGACAUAAUCAUCACAUCAUAAACAUCAUCUUAUAACAAGAUAAACGAUACAUCAUAAACAUCAUCUUAUAACAGCAUAAACAACACAUCAUAAACAUCAUCUCAUAACGACAUAAACAACAACGAUUAAUAAAUAUUAAUACUUCACUUAGUUCUUUAUUAACAACUCAUUGACAAAUGACAACUUAACGACAACGACAAUGCGACUUCUACAUCUUAAACUCAACAUAUGCAACUUCAACUUCUUAAUCAUGCAUGUGGUACCAACCAGAGCAUCAAGCCCUCAACAUAAAGAGCAUAAAUACACUCACAGGGCAUCAAGCCCUCAACAUAAGAGCAAAAGCUCACAGAGCAUCAAGCCCUCAACUUCAAAUGAUUAUGCAUGGACUCAAAAACGUACAACUUAGACAAAUUCACAACUUAUAUGAUCCAAUAUCUUGGAAUAACAACUUACAACUUUACAACUUAGACCAACACUUGCAACUUAAUGACAAUAAUGGUUCAACAACAACAGAAACAGCAACAUAAACAUCUUGCAACAUAGCAACAUCAAUAAUAACAAUUUGAAUGAUAUAAACAAUAAUAAUUUCUAUAUCAUACAUUUUCAACACCUUAUAUAAAUAUCUUAAAUUAACCAACAAUCAUUAAUCAUUUGAUUCAGGCUCUCUUUAACUCUAUAACUUAAUAACAACUUCCAUUCUUAUCCAAAGAUCAACUCAAAACAUAGGUUAAAUACUCUUAAACAUCUUAAUUGAACUCAUAGUACUUCUAGUUUUGAGGUUUUGAAUUAUCCCAUAAGUUUUGGAUUAACUUAGAAAUGGUUAUGCUGAAUUUUCAUAAGAUUUCACUAAGACCUCUCUGGAGUAUUUUUUAUCAUAUCUCAAAAACCAAAAAUCAUUUUCAAAUCAAACCAAAGCCAUUGAAAAGCUAAUAAAAUUAUCUAAAACUUUCAUGUUUACAACUAGACACAGUUCAAAGCGGAAAGGGGUGAAAAAUAGUAAAAUAAGAAGGAUCUGAUUCACAAAAAUCGUGCCACGUUUUUAUGCCCAGAACCAUUGAACUUUCGGCCAACAAAAUUGUGCCACGCUUGCAAAAUCGUGACACGUUUUGACAGCAUCAGGUCCAGAAAUCUGCUUUUCAAAAAGUGCAAUUUUCACCAUUUCGCGCGUAAAAUUCAAACCGUUAAUCGGAUUUUGAUGCCGUUUUCGCCUACACGCUCCUGAAACUUGGCUCUAUCAUAAUCUACAGCUAUUUCAAGUCUCAACCAUCCCAAGAAUCAUUUUCCAAAACCUCACAUAAUCCCUUAUUUGCAAAAACGUUUAGACACCGACUUUUCAAGCGAAAAUCUCAAUUUUCAUCAACUCAACCCCAAAACUGGUUCUAAUCAUUGUACUGUGAAUAAUCUAAGGUCUGAACAUCGUUUCUUCAUUAAUUCAACAGGUUUCUAUCAUCUAAUCAACCAAUUACAACUUUUAACCCUAAUUUCCCAAAUUCCCAAAACUACAACCUACAACAUGUUAAAUCCAAUUUUCAGAAUUAUACAACUUAUAAUUAAAGAAUGUUAUCAUUCUAGGUUCUUCUCUUCUAUUGUUUUCUCCCUUUUUCUCCAAAAACUUGUUUUACGCGAUCCUUAUUUUCUAAUUCUAACUCUCCCCUUUUAUAUAAAUCCUUAACCUACUUAUUUUCUCUUAUUUCCAAAUCUACCCCCAAAGUCUCAAUAUUCUAUUCUAAUAUAUAUGUAUAAUAAAAUACUUCUAUAACAAAUAACAAAUAUAUCUCUAUAACAAAUAUAUUUAUGUACCAGAUAACAUAUAUAUUUCUUCACCAAAUUAGAUAUAUAUUUCUACACCAAAUAACAUAUAUAUUAUACUAAUAAAUACCAACAUAUAACAUAACAAAAUAUCACUCAUCAAAAUAAAUCGACUAAAUUAUAAAAAGACAUCUAAAUUCAAUAAAAUAAAUAAAUAUUAAAAUAGGGCGUUACAAACGUGCUUUCUAUCAUCGAUGAACCAGAGCAAAAUUACCAUUAGAUUCAAUCAAUGGUCAUGAUUUAUACAAAAUAAAAAUAAGAACAUUUAAGAAUUGCCUCGCACAAUCUUGCCCCUAUUAAACUUUUUUAUUUUUGGUAUUCAUCAUCUUCAACCUCCAUUCCAAUUUUUUCGUAAUAAAAAAAAAAAAAAAAACUCCAUUUCAAUUUAGGAGCAAUGCUACAAAAGAGAAUUUGCACAAAAAAUUGAGUGUGUCUUCAAAAGUUUACGGGGUUUGCUAAAAAUCUAGUUUAUGGGUUCAAUUGGAGGUGGUGACUAAUGAAAUUGGAGGUUUAACUCAUCCUUAAAAACCAGUUCAUAAGGUGAGUCACGCCCAGCACUCUUUGGGCUUACGUGAAUCGGUAGGUAUUUGGGCUUACGUGAAUCGAUAGGUAACUCUUGAAUUCGACAGGUUCUGAUACCAUAAUGAAAUUGGAGGCCUAACUCAUCCUUAAAAACUAAUUCAUAAGGUGAGAAUUGUCUCCUCUAUAUUAACUCUUAUCAAGAGUCUUAUCUUUUCGAUGUGGAACAUGAGUUUUUUUCAAUAAUGACCUUUAAAGUUUAAACACGCGGCAUCUUUGAAUUCUACAUAGAAAAAAAAAAUAGAAUUAUAGCGUGUUAUGUUUGUUUCUCUAGAGCAUGAGACAUUUCAUUGUUCAGUUUAUGUUGUCAUGGAAAGGCAUAUGAGUGAUGGGUGUACAUCAUCGAUCGGUGGUUUGAUUCUCGUGAAUAGAACAAAAAAAAUCUGAGCUCAAUGGUACAAAUCCUUACGAUGAAAGGUGAGAUAUAGUAGGAUUGUGUGUGGAUAGUUGUAAAUGUUAUCUUUUUUAAUUCUAGUAGAUCAAAAUUGUUAAUCUCAUUUCAUGGUAAAAAUUAAAUAGUCCAUUUGUGAGGGACUCAAUAGCUCCUUCACCUUAGACGUCACCCUUAAUUAAUAAGAAACUAACGGCGAGGGACUCAACUCCCUCACCUUAGACGUCACCAUUGAUUAAUAAGAAACUAACGAUUGAAGUAAAUAAACGAGAAAGAAACUCAAACUUCUUUCUAAACUUUCUUUCUCUUUCGUUCAUCAAGGAGGGGUGGUUUUUGACCUAGAAUCACCCCUCUACAUCUUUUUUCCCAUUUUCUUUCAAUCUAAAUAAGUGGUUUUCACAUACAAGUGUUUCCUUUUGUGUUUUUUGUGAUUUUGUCGUCUAAGUACAACGCUGUGUUGGUCGUCGUCUUGUGCGGCGUUUGAUUUCACGUCUUGUCGCGGCGUUCGUUUAGUUUCUAUUGAAAGAUUGACAUCGGUCAAUUAUAAAUCCAAUCAAUGAUUUGGGUGUGAAUGUUGCCGAUCUAGAAACAUGAGUAUUUCGGUGACUUAGAUUUAAUCAUAUUAGUUGUAGCAUUUUGUCAUUUUAUGUUAUUAACUUGGGUGCUGUGAGUUUGUUCGCAGUUUUACCCUUUACGUUUCUAGCGAUUUUUGUAUCUGAUGUACUCUAUCAAUCUGAAUGAAUGAAUAUCGUUUUGUUUUUAUUAAAAAAAAAAAAUAAAAAAAAAACUAACGGUUAAAAGUUUGCUCUACAUGCCUACAAUGAUAAUAAAUAGAGAUAAUUUACUACAACUUUUAAAACAAUGAUGCUCAUUUAUAGGAACUUUACCAUAAAUAAGUCUCCAAAGAAAAAAUGAUUUGGAUUGAGGAAUUGAAGGUUUCCAAAUAAGCUAUGUCCAUGAUUGAUCAUAUGCAGAAACUUGACAAAAACUAUCAGCAUCCUAAACUGAAAGAGAACCUGAUGAAGAACCCUUCUAAGCAAGAUAUUCAGUGGAAAACUAUACCCCGAUAUUUAUCAAAUUUCAUAUUUCACCAAUUCAACUCUCUCUAUCAAUAGUAUAUAUAUAAAGUAAGAUUUUUUAUGACACGUGUCACUUCCACGUUUAUUCGCAAUAUUUUUAUUUUUUUUCUAAUUUUUCAAAACCAAUAUUUAAUUUGGCAUAAAUAUCUCAACAAACUUUUGAUCUUAUCUAUUAAAUAUUUUACUUAACUAUUUAUUGAAUUCCUAAUAUUUUAUGUAAUAGAAAUAUCUCAACAAAAUUACAUACGAUACCCUUCAAUUAAAAAUCAUCAAUCAAUCAAUAGUAUAUAUAGUAAGGUUUCUUAUGCCACGUGUCACUUUCAUGUUUAUUCGCAAUAUUUUUAUUAUUUUUAUAUUUUUUAAAAUCAAUAUUUAAUUUUGUAAAAAAAAAAUCAAUAUUUAAUUUGGCAUAAAUAUUUCAACAAAAUUUUAACCUUAGGGAUGGCAAUGGGUACCCUAUCCCAAUGGAUAGGGUACUAUAGUACCCUAUCCAUUGGGUACUCAUUGCCAUAAAUGUAUUGGUCUAUUCUCCACUAUCAUAAAUAUAAAGUGAAAUAUAUUGAAUUGGAAAUGAUGAAAGUAGUAUUAAUUAGAGUUAUAAUUGAAAAAAAAAGUAAUUAAUAAUUGUAUUGAAAAGUUAAAUGCAUCAAGAUUUUUGAGACAAUAUUUUUUACAAAUAACUUAGUUAUUAUGGGACGGAGGGAGUAACACUUUAACAUGACAAUGAAAAGUAAAUUUAAGAAUUAAAAUGCAAGAAAUGAAGAGAAUGUUUCUCUAACACAAAACUAUUUUUUUUUUCUCUUUCACUUAUACACUUUUUUAAUGUGUAAAAUAAAAAAUAAAAAAAACUUAUGUAUAAUGAGACGGAGGGAGUAGUUAGUAAGAACAAAGUCGUCAAGGAACCAAUUAACUCUUGAUUUCACUUCCCAAAAACGUCUUGAUAGUGCUAUACUCCCUCCGUCCCAAAUUAUAAGCAAAAAAACAAAAAUCACACUUAUUAAGAAAACUAAAACAUAAAAAUUUGGAGUAUAGUUUUUUGUGUUUUCGUUGGAAAAAGUUUUAUAGGAAGAUGUAAAAACAAUUUUCAUUGGCUAUUGAUUAUGGAAAAAAUGAAAGAAAGAGAAAAUUGAAUGUAAUUUGCAUUUAAUUUUAUGAGAAUAACAAAAAAAAAUCUUGGAAAAGAUUAAAAUUUGUCUUUUUUCCUUAUAUUUUGGGACAAAGAAAAUGAAUUUCUUUUGCUUAUAUUAUGGAACGGAGGGAGUACUUGGUUAAGCUGGAUUGAGCAUUCAAUUCUAAUUUAAGGGCCUUUAAUUUACCUUAAAGAAUAAACAUAGGACAACCAACCACAUAAUUAUUUAUACCAAACAUUUUCCACCACGUGGGUGAUAUCUGGAAGAUGAGAGUCCAUUUAAGUGAGUCAAUGUGACGAAAAAAAAGAUAAAAUGGCAAUUUUAGGAUCGUAAAUUUCUGAAAAUAAUGGAAGUAGUAAUUCUUUUAACGUUUUCAUUGUUUUAAAAAAAUUAUCCAAUCAUAUUUUAUAUGCAAUUUUUGUUUUUUAGAUUAAUUAAACAAUAAAUUUUGUUAACCAGUGUCCUAAGGGUGAUGAUUAAGGAAUUCAAAUGUAAAAGUUUUGUCUUGUAAUUGUAGGAUGUUACAUUUGAUCAAGUAAUGAUUAUACUACUUUUUAUUAAAAACUUACUUGAUUUAGUUGUUUAACCAGUGUGAACACUAGUUAACAUUCUCCUUAAAUAAUUGAUGUUUCUGAAAUAUAAUAUAUAUAUAUAUAUAUAUAUAGCUCAGAUACAUCACUUAUUUAAUGAAGAGUUUUUUUUUUUUCCUUCUCUUAAUUAACGAAUAAAACUAACACUUAUAUAUCUACCAAAAAAAAAAAAAAACUAACACUUAUAUAAUAUAGUUCGGAUACAAUAUAUUUAUAUAAUAUAAUCCGGAUACAUCACUUAUAUAAUCAACAUUGCUAUUUACCGCGACAAGUUUUGUCCCGAAUGCAUCAAGAAUGAAAAUAAGCCAAUUAAAAACAGCUGUUAGUGGAAAUCAUGGGAGGUGGGGGAGAAAAAGAUGGAAAUCAUAAACUAAUGGAUGGAUGGCAUACAUGCCACAUGUGUCUGGAAAAUCUCGGGACAGUUUUAUUUCGUGUGAAAUAGCAUUUUUCCUUAUAUAAUAUAGUCCAGGUACAAGGCAACUAUCACCGGAUGAGGUUUUAUCUUUUUAUUAAUGAAUAAAACUUUUUUUAAGAAGCUAAAUGCAAAAUAUAUUAAAAACCAAAUUAGUUAAGCACAAGAUGUGCCAAACGAAAAACUGUGUAUAACGUCAAAGUAACAAACUCGAUAAAGAAAGAAACCACAAAUAAUAAAAAUCAAAAGCGAAAUUCAGUUUAUGUGUCUUUAGCCACCACAAAAAAUGAAAUUUAAUAUUGUCGAGAAGUUGAUCCUUAGAAGACACGUUGUUAUUGAAAUUUCUCGAGUUUCUCUCCUUCCAAAUUCUCUCCUUCGAAAUAACUCAAAGACAUGUCAGCACACCACUUUAAAACAAGAGCUAAUGUCCUUCCUGAAAGCAUGCGCGCCAAAAAAUUGUUGUGCGUGACAACCAAUAUUUGAUGGAACGACGGUAGUUUUACCCUACCAGAUCAACAAACACCCUACCAGAUCAACAAACAGGGAAAAUAAAUAAAAAAUAUUUUUGCAAAGUAAUUAAACGGAUUCUAAUGUUUAAUAGGAACCGAUCGAGGACAACAUAGAAAUCAUGCUGGAAUUUGAAGAAGAAAUACAAACCUAAUUAAAGAGAGGGGCUAAGUAUUUCCAAGCUGGAACUUGAAAAAGAAAAACCAUGCUCUAAUUAAGUAACUAAGUAAGGUAGUACAUUACAACAAUUGAGAUAAGUACGACACAUUAUGAUGAUUAUGACUUAUGAGCUGUUAAAUGAUGUUGUAGGAUUACUUUUUUCUUGUCAAAAAUAAAUAAAUGAUGUUGUAGGAGAAACAUUAUUAUAAACAUUAUUAUAACUUACAAGGACUAAUGUUUAAAAAAAAAAACUUACAAGGACUAAUAAUGAGACAGAACGAAAGUGUACGUGAGUGUAGGAGACACGUUAUUAUAACAUUUUAUAAAUAUUUAAACGUUGAUAAUAAUUUUGUCGAUCUAUAAACCACUACCAAUUCCUAGUUAAAUAUAUAAUAAUUUUUAUUAUAUUUGUUAGUUGAUGGUAAAAGAUGAAUAUAAUUUGUUACUAUAUUUUUUUUUGACAAAAUAAUUUGUUGCUAUUUAAAAUUCAUAAAUAUAGUCUAUACAUAUAAUUUUAAUAAAAAUAAAAAUUCACCCAAAAAAAAAUCAAAAAUUUCAUAAAAAAAUAAAUAUUGUUUAUAAUUCACGAGCGUUGUCGCAGUACAAAAAUGGAUAGAUGGAUACCCAGUACUAGUAAUUAAUGAAGUUAAUUGGUAAAAUUUCACUCUUACUGGUGGUUGAUGGUAGGGGUGUUUACGGUGCGGUUUGGUUCGGUUUUGAGAGAAAAAGUCAUCCAAACCGCAAGAUAAAAAAACAUGCGGUUUGUGUAACACCCACAGCUGACGAGGGCAGGGGAGUGGUCACCGGUGCACAAGGCACGCCAAUGAGCGGCUCCCGACAGCUUCUAGAGGAACCGAAUCACAUCUGAAUGAGAGGGAUCCUGAGGCCGUGUAGGUGUGGGACUACAUGAAUGAAGGAAUGCUUAUAAGAAUUGUUUGGUAAUACCUAUAUCAACAAGGUGCAUCUUCUUUUUGGUACCCUAUUCCAUAAGAACUCCACAGUUAAGCGUGCUUGACUUGGAGUAGUCUUUGGAUGGGUGACCUACCGGGAUUCCCGAUAAGCAUGCGAGUGAGGACAAAACACGCUGAAAAGACUCGUGUUGGUUUGUAGGGUCAGUCGACAAUGCUUAAAGUCGUCUGGGAUGUUACAGUUUGGUUUGGUUCGGUUGGCUUUAAAAUAAAAUCCGAACCAAACCAAACCAAUAUGGUUUGGGUUGUAUCGGUUGGUGCGGUUUUUUUCGUGACGAUACGAUUUUUUGUUUCCAACAUUAAAAUCAAGAUAAAAAGCUGAAACACAAUAUAUUUUCAACAAUGUUUUAAAUUUCAUCAAACAUUACAAUUUCAUUUUCAUUACAAUGUUUCCAACAACAUAAACCAAAUUAAAAACGCGGACAAAAAGUAAUCUUAUUUUGUAAGAAAUGCAAAAGACUGAGAUGUUCUCAUUCUCUAAAAGUUAAGUAGCACAUAAAUACAUUUUUAAAUAAAAAGCAAAUAAUGAACUUAACAAGAGAAAAAAAAUAUGACAUUUUAUAAAAGUUUUCAUUGAGUUUCUAUGAGUAUUGGUCUUGAUGACAUAUGUUUAAUUAACAUUUUUCUUAUGUUAUGGUUUGGUUUGGUUUUGUAUCUAUUUGACAGUCUCUUUGUACUUUGAGCGACCUCUUUAGUACGCCUUAUGCUAAAGAGGUGUCUCUCUUAUUGUGAAUAUAUAUCAUUUUACCUUCUUAAAAAAAAGUUAAUUGGUAAAAAAAAAAAAAAUUUCUCUCUUGAUUUAUAUGAAAUGACAUUUUUUUUUGGAACAUGGAGGGUAUUGAUUUUUACACCUUUUCAAAAGCCACUCAAGGAUGAAUAUAGAUUUUUCAUGCAUCAAACACAAGAAUCAUUAGCAUAACAUGCUUUGGAAAACACACACAUAUACUUAAAUUAAUGGUUGGAGUAUCAAAUUUAAAAAUAUUGUUGUCAAUACAUACCCCGUCAAUCCUCCUUUUUUACCCAAUAAACAUUGAAAUGUUGCUUCUUUCGUUAAGCAUAAAAACAUCAAAGUCUAGCAAAAUGUUGUUUUUGCGAUGACACAUUUCAUAUAGUUUAAAGGAUGCAUGAUUCGAUUACAAAAACAAAAUACUAAUAAUUCUAGCACAAAGUUUAAAGCUAAGAUUAUAAAGCUUCAUAGCAUGUGGAUAUUCAUUUAGAAAUAUAGGAUUAGGAUUGCCCCUUUCAUCACGGGUCUAAUAGCACCACUUGUCACUACAUGUUAAAAAUGUCCUCUAGUACAACACCGCUUUUUACUUGAUUCCCCUUGUCCAUGAAAAAAUCAAACAAUAUUUGGACACAAAAAUUUGCCCCCACUUUCCUUUUUCUUCUGCCCUAGUUUGUUUGAAAACUCAUAUUGAUCAAAUUUGGCUAUGAAUUCAAACAAAAAAUUCACUCUGCCCAUUGCAUGUGUGGGACCCACAUAUAAAUCCAUGAAGGAUUUCAAUGUCCAUCCAAGUCAAUGAUUCAACAUAUAACAUUGAAUAAUUUAAUUCCAAUUUGCAGUAUUAUGAUUUAGAUUGAUUGCUGCAAUACGGUCCGUGAAUGUAACUCACGAGAAAGAGGUAUCAAGGUAUUUUAUUUUAUUUUUAACAAAUAAAAUUUCAAGGUCUUGUUCACCAUAUAAACCUCCUCACUCUCACUCAAUUCUCUUAAGUGUAUGACUUCAUAGUAAACUACACUACUUUCUUUAAAACAUGGCUAACUAUGCUAUAGCCAAUGUUUUGAUCCUUCUCUUGAACUUGAGUACCUUACUCAAUGUUCUUGCUUGCCCUUAUUGUCCUUACCCAAGCCCUAAACCACCUUCACACCACCCUCCUAUUGUUAAGCCACCAGUUCACAAACCACCAAAGCAUUCUCCUACUCCUAAACCACCAGUUCAUAAACCACCAAGAUAUCCUCCUAAACCAUCACCUUGUCCACCCCCAUCAUCAACACCAAAACCACCUCAUCAUCCCAAACCCCCAGCAGUACACCCACCACAUGUUCCAAAACCACAUCCACCUUAUGUUCCAAAACCACCAAUUGUUAAACCUCCAAUAGUACAUCCACCUUACGUACCAAAACCCCCAGUUGUGAAACCACCACCAUAUGUCCCUAAACCACCUGUUGUGAGACCACCCUAUGUUCCUAAACCACCAGUUGUACCUGUAACACCACCUUAUGUUCCUAAGCCACCAAUUGUUUUCCCACCACAUGUUCCUCUACCUCCAGUUGUACCAUCACCACCACCUUAUGUACCAACACCUCCAAUUGUGAAACCACCAAUUGUUUUUCCACCACAUGUUCCUCUACCUCCAGUUGUGCCUGUAACACCACCUUAUGUGCAACCACCACCUAUUGUAACUCCACCAACACCAACACCUCCAAUUGUGACACCACCAACACCACCUAGUGAAACACCUUGUCCUCCACCACCACUUGUACCUUAUCCACCACCACCAGCACAACAAACAUGUUCCAUUGAUGCUUUGAAGUUGGGUGCAUGUGUUGAUGUGCUUGGUGGACUCAUACAUAUUGGUAUAGGUGGAAGUGCUAAACAAACAUGUUGUCCAUUGCUUCAAGGACUUGUUGAUUUGGAUGCUGCUAUAUGUCUUUGCACCA